rnacentral:rRNA from 1 species
GGGCAAGGGCGGGGCUAUAAUGCAGUCGACGAACUCUGGUAUUGAUUGGUGCUUGCAUCAUGAUUUACAUUUGAGUGAGUGGCGAACUGGUGAGUAACACGUGGGAAACCUGCCCAGAAGCGGGGGAUAACACCUGGAAACAGAUGCUAAUACCGCAUAACAACUUGGACCGCAUGGUCCGAGUUUGAAAGAUGGCUUCGGCUAUCACUUUUGGAUGGUCCCGCGGCGUAUUAGCUAGAUGGUGGGGUAACGGCUCACCAUGGCAAUGAUACGUAGCCGACCUGAGAGGGUAAUCGGCCACAUUGGGACUGAGACACGGCCCAAACUCCUACGGGAGGCAGCAGUAGGGAAUCUUCCACAAUGGACGAAAGUCUGAUGGAGCAACGCCGCGUGAGUGAAGAAGGGUUUCGGCUCGUAAAACUCUGUUGUUAAAGAAGAACAUAUCUGAGAGUAACUGUUCAGGUAUUGACGGUAUUUAACCAGAAAGCCACGGCUAACUACGUGCCAGCAGCCGCGGUAAUACGUAGGUGGCAAGCGUUGUCCGGAUUUAUUGGGCGUAAAGCGAGCGCAGGCGGUUUUUUAAGUCUGAUGUGAAAGCCUUCGGCUCAACCGAAGAAGUGCAUCGGAAACUGGGAAACUUGAGUGCAGAAGAGGACAGUGGAACUCCAUGUGUAGCGGUGAAAUGCGUAGAUAUAUGGAAGAACACCAGUGGCGAAGGCGGCUGUCUGGUCUGUAACUGACGCUGAGGCUCGAAAGUAUGGGUAGCAAACAGGAUUAGAUACCCUGGUAGUCCAUACCGUAAACGAUGAAUGCUAAGUGUUGGAGGGUUUCCGCCCUUCAGUGCUGCAGCUAACGCAUUAAGCAUUCCGCCUGGGGAGUACGGGCCGCAAGGCUGAAACUCAAAGGAAUUGACGGGGGCCCGCACAAGCGGUGGAGCAUGUGGUUUAAUUCGAAGCUACGCGAAGAACCUUACCAGGUCUUGACAUACUAUGCAAAUCUAAGAGAUUAGACGUUCCCUUCGGGACAUGGAUACAGGUGGUGCAUGGUUGUCGUCAGCUCGUGUCGUGAGAUGUUGGGUUAGUCCCGCACGAGCGCA